AGCGAACGCUGGCGGCAGGCCUAAUACAUGCAAGUCGAACGGAUCCUUCGGGAUUAGUGGCGGACGGGUGAGUAACACGUGGGAACGUGCCCUUUGGUUCGGAACAACUCAGGGAAACUUGAGCUAAUACCGGAUAAGCCCUUCGGGGAAGGAUUAUCGCCAUUGGAGCGGCCCGCGUCUGAUUAGCUAGUUGGUGGGGUGGAUGGCCUACCAAGGCGACGACGGGUAGGCCGGCCCGACGAGGGCGACCGGCCACACUGGGACGUGAGACACGGCCCAGACUCCUACCGGGAGGCAGCAGUGGGGAAUCUUGCGCAAUGGGCGAAAGCCUGACGCAGCGACGCCGCGUGAGGGA
rnacentral:rRNA from 1 species